UCUCGUCAUAAUUAUAUAUAUAAUUAAUUUAAUAUAUGCAUAUCUUUUUACAAAACAAAAUUGUUGAAAGCAAUGGAAUCUCAAACUUGUGUGAUUUGUGGAGGACAUUCAGUUCAUAAGUGCAGUGCCUGUGAAAAUGUUUAUUACUGUAGCAAGAAACAUCAAAAAGAAGAUUGGAAGAAACAUUCAAAAGUUUGUAAAUCCUUUAAGUUAGCAGAAAAUCCUUCAUUGGGUCGUCAUUACGUAGCUACGAGAAAUAUCAAAGUUGGAGAAAUUAUUCUACGGGAUGAUCAACCCCUGAUAACAGGUCUUAUGUACAACAGUGUCCCCGUGUGCCUUCAAUGUUAUACGAUGUUAAAUCAAGAGAUUGCAAUACCUUGCGAAAAAUGUGGCUGGCCUCUUUGUCAAAACUGUAACGAACAUGGAUUGGAAUGCAAAUUUUCAUGUUCUCGCAGAGAUUCUAAGAUAUCAAUAACCGAAUUUGGCUAUCCCCAUCCGAGUUAUCAAUGUAUAAAUAUUAUAAGAGCUUUGUCAUUGAAGGAUACUAAUCCAGAAUCUUAUAAAAAGUUAAUAUCCCUCGAAAGCCACUGCAAUGAAAUAAAUAAUUCUAAAGAGCCAUUAAAUAUUGCUCAUUUUAUCAAGAGGUUCUUCAAGGCAGAUGACAUAUCGGAAGAAGAAAUUGUAACAAUCAUUGGCAUCUUGCAGGUUAAUGGUCACGAAGUUCCAUUAACCGACUCACCAUACGUAGCGGUUUAUGAAAUGGCAUCAUUAAUUGAGCAUAAUUGUAGAGCCAAUUGCUCAAAAAGUUUCACCGAUAUGGGAGGAUUGAUUAUUCGUGCUGCACUACCUAUUACGAAAGGAGAUCACAUUUCUAUAUGUUAUACUGAUCCAUUAUGGGGUACUGCAAAUAGAAGACAUCACCUUCUUAAAACAAAAUUUUUUGAAUGUAUUUGUAAUCGAUGUCAAGAUCCUACAGAAUUUCAAACUAUGUUCAAUGCUUUAAAAUGCAAUAAAAUAAAUUGUUCAGGAUACGUAUUGCCAAAAACUUUCCUUGAACAAGAACAAGAUUACGUAUGCAAAACUUGUGAAUCGAUCGUUUCUUGUACAGAGAUUGAAAAAAUGUUGGAAGACAUUGGUAUACGCCUAUCAAAUAUGAAGAAAAACGAUAUUGUUGCAUGUAAAGAAUUUCUAGACCGAUAUAAAAAUAAUCUUCAUCCAAAUCAUUAUUAUAACAUCGAUGUGACGAUCGCCUUGACUCAAUUGAUUGGACAACAAACUGGAGGAUUGGCGGUAAUCGAGGAAGAUCUUCUGAUUGAGAAAAUAAAAUUAUGCAAAAAAUUGGAUACUUUGCUUAAAUUGCUCGUUCCAGGUCACUAGUACAUUGUGACGAAGUAACAAGAAAACUAUUUGUGUACUCUCUGUGAUUCCAUUUUUACAAGGAAACUGAUAUCGGUGAUUGAUACACGCCGAUUUUCAUGAAAUUUUGUAUAAUUGUUUGGACCAGCCUAGAUAGAUUUUCCCCAUAUUUGCUGAAAACCGAAUUCGAGGUUUAAUUCUUUUUGAGUUACAUGCAUCUCUUGCAGAAUUAAGUAGAAGAUAUAAAAAUGAGGA
rnacentral:misc_RNA from 1 species